CCACAGAAGUUGAGGAGGGCUCAGUAGAGGUGUGGAAGCUGUAUGCUGUAUGGGGAGCUGCUGCACUCGUUCCUGCUCUGUUUCUCUUCAUUCUUACUGCCAUUCUGUGCAUUAAGAGGAAGAGAGCAGCUGAGAGAGAUGCAGACAUUCAGUGUGUUUCAACGUCUGGAGAUAACACAUACAUAGCACUAAACCACAUGACCAUGUCUCCGGAUUAUGACACUCUGCAAGUA